UAUGUAAGCAACAUUGUGAGUGAUGUCUCAUUGUUAUCUCUCUGAUUGAGUCAUUCCUGCCUUUUGAAUGUUGCUGCUAAUGAGUGGGUGAAAGAACUGCAGGUGCACCCCCCCCCGGCCACAGUCAACUGCUGCGCUAAAGUUUGCUGUUGCAAAAAUAUAAACUGUCAAUAAUCAUUAUUGUCUUUUAAUCCAGAUACAUUGUUAUGUCAAUUACUGUACUGCUAAUUCACAUCAGUCACUGGUCUCACGAUCACACAGCCAACACCAGGAGGCUCAAUCACAAAGUAACAGCUAAAUUACCAAUUGUGCUGUGGCACGGCUCCAUAAUGAAGGAAGCCUGUCAUGUGUGAGUGUCAUCAGUAUGCUUCACAUAAUCCCGCCCCCACUGCUUCCUCUACAUCAGAGGUCACUGCAGCAUGUUACCUCACAGCUCUUGACUAGUUGCUACCCCUUGUUGCUAAGCUGAGAGAGCUGCUAAGCUUGUUCCUCUCUGGUGUUUUGGAUCCUGCGCUGAGUACCGGUGACAGUGCACAACCGCACACAACUGAGUGCUGCCAUUUUGAUGCUUUCACCACUGUCACAUUGCCUCCUCAGUCAACAAGGGUGUAUUAUUCAGCUGUCAUUUUGGAGAAAAGCUUUAUUUAUUAGAAUUCAUCUUAAUUUUUUUGGUUUGUUUGUGUAUGCUGUGUGACGCUGUGAACAUGCUGAUGGUGUUGCUUAUUUUGACAUGACAAGAUGAGACAUUUCACUAUACAAACAGCCACUAACAGGUGGCUAGGCCUAUCACACUCAGCCGUGGUGGCUGCUGCUUUCCAUACCACUGGCAAGAUGGCAACAAACCAUAAACCCAACUUCAGCCAUUAAAACAUCCAUCCAGAAAGCUAUAGGUGAUUUCACGCACACCAUGUCCAUAUUGCUCUGAAGUUCAUGCUACAUAAGACCAUUUACAACUGUAAUCUACACAAGUAAAGGCACUAAAUGACGUGAGGAAGAAUUUGGAUUUGGCUUUGGAUUUGGUAUUGGAAAAGGUUGUGUUACAUUGUGAAGAAAUAUUAACAAAAAUGCACAGACACACAGAGGGAAACAAAGAGUAAUAAAUCCAUAAAAGCAAUUUCAAGGCAGAGAUGUACUCAACAAUGUAAUAAGAUGUAUGAUAUUAAGCUGGGAUUGCUUGUAUUGUUUAUAUCCGUAACAGGGUGAGGCCAUGCUCUAUCUUUAUCUCUCUCUCCGUCUCUGAGAUUGAGAUGUGUGCUUCUGUUUUUCCAAACUCAGUGGGUAGAUGGAGUCGAUUUUCACUAAUAGAAAAUAAUGACUGAUAAUAAACAGAGGAAAUAUGU